rnacentral:rRNA from 1 species
UACGGGGGGGGCAAGCGUUGUUCGGAAUUACUGGGCGUAAAGGGCUUGUAGGUGGCCAACUAAGUCAGACGUGAAAUCCCUCGGCUUAACCGGGGAACUGCGUCUGAUACUGGAUGGCUUGAGUGUGGGAGAGGGAUGCGGAAUUCCAGGUGUAGCGGUGAAAUGCGUAGAUAUCUGGAGGAACACCGGUGGCGAAGGCGGCAUCCUGGACCGACACUGACGCUGAGGCGCGAAAGCUAGGGGAGCAAACGGG